rnacentral:lncRNA from 1 species
CCGAUAUCCUUUUUGCAACUUGCUCUCUCUCUUUGUCAGACAACUCACGAAAUGUUUUCCCUUCUAUAAUACUGUGCUCAACGUUAUCUGCAUUUGAAGAAAGUAUUCCACAUUCCAUAGCAAUUGCUUUGGCUGUUUGAAGAUUGUCUCCAGUUACCAUGCGCACCUGAUUAACAGAUGUAGGUUAACAUUGAUUUCAUCUCUUUCUUCUUCUUUAAUCGAGAGAAUAACACAAUAUCUUAUGCAUCAUUCUAAUGAACAUUCAUGAUAUGAAGGCUAGUAUGUUUCUGAUUCUUGUACUUUUACACCAAUACCCGUCACAACAAUGCACUAAAUUAGCUGCAUCUUAAAAUUCUCUAACUACUACUUCCAUGCAUGUGCAUGGAAACCAGAUUUAGAUUAUGUUUGGGCAAUCUUGUCUGAUAUUGCUGAAAAUCUGAUUAUCUGCAAAACUUGAUUCUUCGAAAAUUCAAAAUCUGUAUAAAGAAUUCAGCCUUGGGGGCCACCUUACAUCAACAAACAACUAUUUUCCCCGUUUAUUUUCCUUUCCUUUAACGCCCUUGAUCGGGAAGUUCAAUUGAUGAAAUUGCCCUCCACAGAAUUGAAGACCUUUUAGUGAAAUGACAUCAACAAGAGCAGUUCCGUCAAUUGAACAAAGAGGUGGAAGUCAAUUACACAAUGUUGGUGAGAGGUGUUGCAGUUAAUUGUAGAGUUUUGAGAAAUAUUUAAUGAACUUUCGGCCCCAUAUUCUAAAACCUUAAAAGCGAUUUUAUCAUUUCAGCAGCACUAGACAAGCAUUUAAGAAAUUGACAUUGAAGUGCAACCAAGACCAAAUAUGAUGGGCUGCAUAUUCAAAUCAACUGGCUGCGUCAACAGUUUGUUAACAAGGCUAUGGAUCUUACUGCAGCAACCACCUACACAAUGUCCAUAUACAUAUAAAAUUUGGAUAUUAGGAUAAAUACCUUAACACCAGCAUCCAUACAUAGUUUCACCGCAUCUUUGACACCUGGACGGCAAGGAUCCUGUGAAAUGUUACGUGUUAAAACAAAAAGGAAAAUGUAAUAGAGGAAAAUGAAUUUUCUAGGAGUAGAAAUGCUAUCUAUUAACUAUUUCUAAUUCACCAAAAAA